GCUCUUCCCUUUAGUCUCAGGCAGGAUGAAGAAGGUAUAAAGACAACCCAGCAGGCAGACGAAGGCGAACAGCAAGAAGCAGUACGAGUUCAGGGCAUUCUGGGGACAGAGGAUAAGGAGAGUGAAGAUGUGUGAGCUGUUCGGGAGAAUGCUGCAACCCUGUCUUGCUGUGAGACUCCAUAAAUGUUUUGUGGACUAUGAAAACUUCCCCUGACUCUCUGCAAAGUGAUACUCCAAGACCAAGAGUGACGUAGCGGAUCUGGUCUCUCGGUAUACCUGCCUCCAGGAAGAUGUCAAAAGAGAAGUUAUGCCCGACAGCUGGUUGCAGCAUUGGAUGAAGGACAUGGUCAUGAGUUGCCAUCGGACAGUCCGGUCCCUCAGGAGCUCCAGAGGGCUUUUUGGUGGGGCGCUCUCAAUGGCCACCUGCUCAGCCAACAUCUCG